rnacentral:tRNA from 1 species
AUCUAAAUAGUUUAAUUUAAAAUUUGAGUUUGUGGAACUUUAGAUAAUUUUUGAUUUUUAGAUA